rnacentral:misc_RNA from 1 species
AAUGAUAAUCCAUUGAUUGAUGUGUCAAGGAAUAAGGCUUUACAUGGAGGGAAUUUCCAGGGGACGCCAAUUGGUGUUUCCAUGGAUAACACUCGUUUAGCCAUUGCUUCAAUUGGCAAACUCAUGUUUGCACAAUUCUCUGAGCUUGUUAAUGACUUUUACAACAAUGGUUUGCCUUCAAAUCUCACAGGUGGCCGCAAUCCAAGCUUGGAUUAUGG